rnacentral:rRNA from 1 species
UGCGCAGGCGGUUGUGUAAGACAGGCGUGAAAUCCCCGGGCUUAACCUGGGAACUGCGCCUGUGACUGCACGACUAGAGUAUGGCAGAGGGGGGUGGAAUUCCACGUGUAGCAGUGAAAUGCGUAGAGAUGUGGAGGAACACCGAUGGCGAAGGCAGCCCCCUGGGCCAAUACUGACGCUCAUGCACGAAAGCGUGGGGAGCAAACA